rnacentral:rRNA from 1 species
GAUGAACGCUGGCGGCGUGCCUAAUACAUGCAAGUCGAGCGAACAGACGCGGCGCUUGCUCCUCUGACGUUAGCGGCGGACGGGUGAGUAACACGUGGAUAACCUACCUAUAAGACUGGGAUCACUUCGGGACACCGGCGCUAAUACCGGAUAAUAUAUUGAACCGCAUGGUUCAAUAGUGAAAGACGGUUUUGCUGUCACUUAUAGAUGGAUCCGCGCCGCAUUAGCUAGUUGGUACGGUAACGGCUUACCAAGGCAACGAUGCGUAGCCGACCUGAGAGAGUGGUCGCCCACACGGGAGCGGAGACACGGUCCAGACUCCUACGAGAGGCAGCAGUAGGGAAUCUGCCGCAGUGGGCGAGAGCCUGACAGAGCAGCGCCACGUGAGUGAUGAAGGCGUUGGGAUCGGAAAGCUCGGUUAUGAGUAAUGAACAAAUGUGGAAGUAGCUGUGCACGUCUUGACGGUACCGGGUCAGAAAGCCACGGCUAACUACGUG